AAAAAUGAUAUAAAAAAAUGGCAAUAAAAACAAAAGUUGUAGUGUCAGACUUUUCCGAGGUCAAAUGUUAAAUCAAAAAUAACAACUUUGAUGCUUCUCUCAAGACGUUUGUGCACAUGCUGCUUGAAAAUCUCCACCCAUCACUUUUCCCAAACAAAGGAUUCCCCCUCAACAAACAUCAUCGUUGCCCUCAAUAACAAAGUAAACCUUUU
rnacentral:lncRNA from 1 species